UUGCGAUAAGUAAUGUGAAUUGCAGAAUUCCGUGAAUCAUCGAAUCUUUGAACGCAAAUUGCACUCUUCGGUCUUCCGGGGAGUAUGCCUGUUUGAGGGUCGGUAAAAUGAAAUAUCGAUUUGUUGCUUAUGAUUUACCAUUUGUAACAUUUCGGAAUUGGGUUAACUUUGAUCUUAAGUGACCUAAAAUUCAUUACUUCGGUAUGAUUAACGUUCUUAAUGAUUUCGUUUAGAGUACCGGAUUUUAUUAGAUGUGACUAUUUUUAAUAUAGCAUCACUUCUAUAACCUUGAUUUUCGACCUCAAAUCAGGUAAGAUCACCCGCUGAACUUAA
rnacentral:misc_RNA from 1 species